AACCUCCGCAAUGUGAGAAAUCGCGACGGGGGGAUCCCAAGUGCCAUUCUUAACGGGAUGGCUUUUCUUAAGUGUAAAAAGCUUUUGGAAUAAGAGCUGGGCAAGACCGGUGCCAGCCGCCGCGGUAACACCGGCAGCUCUAGUGGUAGCUGUUUUUAUUGGGCCUAAAGCGUUCGUAGCCGGUUUGAUAAGUCACUGGUGAAAUCCUGUAGCUUAACUGUGGGAAUUGCUGGUGAUACUGUUGAACUUGAGGUCGGGAGAGGUUAGCGGUACUCCCAGGGUAGAGGUGAAAUUCUGUAAUCCUGGGAGGACCACCUGUGGCGAAGGCGGCUAACUGGAACGAACCUGACGGUGAGGGACGAAAGCUAGGGGCGCGAACCGGAUUAGAUACCCGGGUAGUCCUAGCCGUAAACGAUGCGGACUUGGUGUUGGGAUGGCUUUGAGCCGCUCCGGUGCCGAAGGGAAGCUGCUAAGUCCGCCGCCUGGGAAGUACGGUCGCAAGACUGAAACUUAAAGGAAUU
rnacentral:rRNA from 1 species